GACAAACACAGAAGUCUUGAGCCACAUAAAACCAGACACAUCACUAGAAGGGAAAAUAACCAGACUCAGACUUACAUACUUUGGUCAUGUGAUGCGAUCAAAUUCGCUAUAAAAACCUAUGAUGCUUGGACUUGUCAGUGGCAGGAGAAGAUCUGGGCGCCAAAGAAUAUGAUGCUAGAUACCAUAAAAACUGAUACAGGCAUGAACAUCAACCAGCUGAAGGAAGCAAUACUUAAUCGAAAAAUGUGGAAAGAGCUUGCAUAUCGGUUUGCAAAUUCAUUU